AAUCAGUGGGCAACCAAAUUGAGGAUAAAAAUCAACUUCCAAUACCAGUGGAACUACCCAAGCAUUCUGCAUAAUCUUCAGCUCGGGGAUGUGUCCACCCAGCCCAGCAGCAGUACAUAAACUGGACCGGAGGAUCGUUGCAUGUUACGUACCAAGUUGUUCAUUAGCAUCAUAGGUUUCGACGAAUGCUUAUUAUAUACAUAGAAUGGAUUACCCACAUAAGCACAAUGGCUAUAUAUAUAUAUAUACAGGCCAGAGUUCAGCACGAGGAAACUGAUGGCAGUGAGAUGGGGAUAAAGAAAUGGGCGGCAGCACUCCGCCAUAAGCACUCGGCCAUAAUCAGUUGUUACCGAAUGUGUUUUCUCCGCUGUAGGUGACGUAGAGAAACCCGUCCUCGUCUUUCUUUUCAUCGUAAAUGGCAGACAUUAUUGUUCCUGAGAUAUCAAGAGAAUGUUUCAAAUCUGCAAUGGAUUUUUUUAGACAAACGACAACUCAAAGCCUUUCAUUUCUGUUAAAAAUGUGACGGGGAGAAAGUAAAAUACAAAAUGAUCAUCUGCGUGAAGUGAAAUAUGUCAACUGAACUGUACCUGUGGGUGGAAGGACAUUGUCAACAAAUAUGAAGAUCGCCUUUUCAGCGCUCAGCUUAAUUCUCUUCCUGAUCACGUAGACAAACUGACCCAGGGUAAGGUCGGCUGGGACAAGAUAUCUGCAAGUUAUCAACAUUAAGUCAGUAUAUGAACAAGUCAAGUAUCGCAGCCAUGCCUUCCUACAAGUGCAGAUAACAAAAUGAUAAUAGCAGUCGAUUAAAAAGGGCUCAGGUGCUGUUGCCGGAGUACGGAGGGACGCAGGUGAAACUGGGAGAGAAGGAGUACCACCUGUACAGGGAUGAAGACAUCCUGGGGACGCUGCACGAUUGAUCGAUCCCGGCCCGUGUAUGGACGGCCGGUCAGUGGGUUCUGUCAUGUCGUCGGUGGGGAUUUUGGGCGGAUUCUUUCACUCGAUGUCGAACGAAGUUGUCGAGCUCGAAAUUGUUGAAUCAAUGAGACCAAUUUGUAUCCGGUGCGAUUCCUCCUGUUUAAUGCUAGACUGUAGAGCUCGAUUCUUCCGAACGUGAAAUUGUAACUUGUCGUUUCCUCUCAUUUCCAUCCUAACUUCCUCCUAACAGCGCCCGGGUGAGAUUGAUUGAAAAAUGGGGUUUUUGGAUUGACCCUAUUCGCGGGUGAUUAACGAUCUGCUCUCUGUUUUACUCUCACUGGGAUUAUCUUGAUGGUCGUGAUUUUAUGAGGACGACCUGAGUUUCUUACGCUUGUGGGUUCUGGUCCGAGUCGUGAUGGGCAAAAGUACAGAAUUUGCUUAUGAGUUGGGUCGUCUUAGAAAGGAUCUCAAUCGCAUCAGCUACUGAUCAAUGAUCUGUUAGUAAAUAGAUCUUGAACCCUGUCUUGGGUCUUGUUCGGGUCGUUUCACUAGCCGGGCUGGCUUUAAUAGCAGUGACUGCGAUGAUUGCCGUCGGUGUUGUAUUGAGCGCGAUCGUGUGACCAAUUUACUCAACCGAAUAGAUUGGCAGAAUCAGGUAACCUGAACCGAGAGAUAAAAGGCUUUUUAUAAAGACCAGAAUCCGCAAUUACAAACCCCAUGCGCGUGUUAGAUCGCAUCAUUUAAAUCCAAUCUUGCUCUCAUAUUAAUGAAAGGAGCUGUUGAUCAUGAUAAUGCCAUUAGCUAUUAUUCUGUAUUUCCCUUCUUCGAUGCCAGUUGCUCCUUUCGUACUUUUACUUCUAAACAGCAAGCUGCGGGGCACUUCUAAAGAGAGUAGAAAACAGCAAAUCAUGAAAGUUUAACAAACUACCUUAUCUCGUAUGAGGCCGUAAAAAAAAAAAACUAUAGCCAGGACUCGGGAGUUGAAGAAAUCGACAGUGGGUCACCAACAAAGACAUGGGUUGGUGAAUCUAGAAUCUCCAUGAUUGCCUUCCCGAGACCCUGGCUCAAGAAAGACUCCAUUAUGAAAAGAUCUAAACAUAUAGUAAUGAGCAUAACCCCCCUAGCAUUCAGAAGUCAUGCUCGGUGAGAAAGCACAAACAAUUCACAAGAAUGCAACGGAGUAAAGACCAAGCAGUUUUAUUCUUCAAUUCUCUCUUUCUUCUUCUUCUUCAAUUUCCUGUCAGAAUGCUCAAUUGACUGAGAUGAAGCAGCUGAACCGUGAUCUCGGGAACGCUCUGAGAACUCUGCAGUUGUUGCACUGCUAUGAUUCCACCCAGAGUCUUGAGUACUAUUCAUCAAUCCCAAGGAGUCAGUGGAUUCCUGAGGAUACCUUCUCUUGUAAGGUUUUGAUGUCUCUCCAGCAUCAGUUACGCUGCUUUUCUGCCGACUGCUACGAGUGUAGGAUGUGUUUCCUCUGGAUGAGCAUGAACUUCUCAGUCUACUGUUUGGUGUCACAGAGGAAAAUUGAUGGGAGGCAUUUGUAAGUGACGUUCCGGGUCUAAAUCUACCGGAUGCGACUUUGGAAGCAAGUUUCUCGAGCUCAUUAGGAUCUGGGUAGUGGACGAGGGAGACUCUUCUUGAAAUCUUCCCAACUGUCAAAAAUAUAAGCAAAGUCAACUACAACCGAUUGCAGACCAGCCAAACUCAACAAUGCUGGUUGAGAGAACAUCCAUCCCAAUCUGAGUACUGAACUUGGAAAAAACAACUGUUCAAAUUAAUGAUACUUAACAAAAAUACCUCUGCCUAGAUGUAUCAGAAUACAAGAACACAUAGCACAGGAUGUCAUAGAAUCAAACAAUGGAGAGACAAUAUGAAAUGUACUAUUUAAGAAAGUAUCCAGUCAAUUGAAUGGCUAAGCUUGCAAAAGAAGUGUUCAAGGGAAAUCCUCAUUCAAUCCAGUUCCAACCAAGUAACCUCAAUCGAUAUUGUGCACUUUAAGCAGAUGCACUAAGGGACGUCUUUCAAAUCAAACAGAGCUGAGUAAUACAAAACCGGUGCAUCCAAAAAUGAAAAGAAAAGAACAAUAUCAGAGCAAUUGAUACUACAAAGUAAAAGUGCCUAAUUUAUCAUGAGUUGGCCAUCGAUGUCAAAGGGAAUAGCCAGCUUGCAUCUAGCCUGCAAGUAAUUAUGGAUUUCAGAAUUUUUUCCUUUGCCUUGACUCCUAGCUCCACAAAUUGGCUGAUAAAAUUCUUGCAAUUUAUAGAAUAUAAUUUCCAUUACACUAAAGUACAGCUCCAGCAAGUUGUUUCGUCUUAAUUUUUAUGCCUUCCUGCUUCUGGAAAGUGAUUGGUAACUCACAUUGGCAAAUUGCAAAGAGCAAAUAUCCGAGGUAGCUACUUUUGCAGAUUUCACCUUAGGACAUCAAGAAUGACAUGGGCAAAACAUAUGAACAAAUGAACACGAUAUAUUUGGUACAACAUAUUAACAUAGAGAUAGCUUAAAGUACCAUACUCAAGGCACAGCCCAAAAUAAAUAACAUAUCACAGGCUUUGGUUUAAGAAAAGGUGCAUCAACAUGAGCAGUAGUGCAUACCGAUUCUUGAACCUGAGGAAGAGGCCGUGAAAACUGUUGCAUCGGGCUCCUGAGCCGCAAAACUAACCACAUCAUAUUCCUUGCCUUCAACAAAGAGCGACAACGCAUUAAGACAGGUAAGCAAGUGAAGCGACAAAUAGAAUCCUACUUAGCAUAAGAAAAAUUUGAUCUGUCUAUGAGAAGGAUUAUAAAGGUUACCAGAUGAAUCCUCAAAACUCCCCAAUUUCCCAUCAUGAUGAAGUUUGAGCUUGAGUUCUUGGCCACCCAAAUCAGGAGGCUGCAAUGACCACAAAAGGGUAUCGCCACAAUCAUAUCCAUGCCAACAAGAAAUACUCAAGAUAGAAUUUUUAAGGAAGAACAGUAAUCACUUCCCGUAAACAAAUUGCGAAAAAGAGCAGACGCACACCAUCUAGCUGAAACAGAACUGGGCGGUAUCUCCCCAAUCCUCACAAUCCAACAACAUAAAAAUCCCAGAAAAGCAAAACCCAAUUUGAUGCAAAGAGACUAGACAAGCCAUGUGCUACUGUUCGGCGUUGUUCUUAAUUCCUUCAGAGAAAGCCAGAGGCUAAGGGCAGCAAAUGGGUCAUGGUACCAUGUCACGAGGCCACUGAAUGAGCCAAAGUUCGGUGGAGUCGGAAGUGUCGAGAUCGACUAGAGCUUCUUUCGCAUCCUCCACGUAUUCCGGCGGAGGCACGUACCCUUCGCCGGCACCACCGGAAGCUCCACUGUCCAUUGUUCACCAAGCGAGUGAAAAGCUCGGGCCCGGGCAGCUCCUAUGGAGAGAGAGAGAGAGAGAGGGACGAUGUGAGAAGGAGCGAGAGAUGCAAAACCCUACAAAAGACGAGGAGGAAGGGGCCGCAGUGUUGCGAUAGGGUUUCAUCAAUUGCAGCUAGGGGUGAGUGGUUCUAGGUUCCUUAUAGGUUCCGCCUGGAACCUAGAACCUACCCUCGAGUACAAGUUUCUCAUUUUUUUGGAACCUGGAACCUACUUGUCGGAACCAAGAAUCUGAAAUCUACCCUGUCACAAGUUCCAGGGUCCAACAGAUUGUUUUUUUUUUUUUUUUCAUUUUUUUUCUUUUUUAGUUAUAAAAACGAAAAUGAAUGCAACAAUAAUAGAUAAGCUUAUCAUUCAUAAAAGAGAAUAUUUACAAAAUGACAGUGGUAUCAACAGAAGAAAAAGAAUUCUUGGCAAAGAAUUCAACAAGAUAAAGGAGAGGAAAUUGUUGUCAAAAAAAGAAAAAAAGGAGAGGAAAUUGAAGAAAAAUCUGCAAAAGAAACUCCUACUGUCAGGAAUCCCUUGAUACAUUAACUUCAUAUAUACACAACAAUAAUAUCCUCCUACAGUUAUUUUGGGUGAAAGACCAAGAGUUCAUUCUAAGAACUCCAACUUCAGAUAAGAUGUUAGUACUUGCUCAAUUACAAACGAUCAAGGAUGUCAGUUUUCUCUUUGCUGGUCAUUUAAAAAACUGGGAGGAGUACAUCAUAAUUUGAAAUCCCUUUCUUGUGCCACCAAUGUGGGACCAGCCUCUAAUGGCUCUUCUUCAUGAUGAAAGCUGCUCUUUGGAUAAACAAGCAUACAGAGGAGACGCCUGCAAUUUCUCUCAUUUUCUUUUCAUUGUUAUUUUGCUGAAUCUUUCUUGCGAUUAUUAUAUAGAUUUUCCUUUCGCAUAUUAAAAAGUUAUAGCCUAUGAGUGCCAGCAUGUGUUCUCUGCAAAAUAUUAUGUGCAUAGUUGUGGCCGAGUUCUCAUCAGCAAUUAUGGAUAAAAACCUACGUAGAUAUACAGUUAAUCCCUGAAAUUCUAUAAGUUCUAAUUAGGUACAGCAGUUUGAAAGAAAAGAAAAAAAUUAGGUACAACUGUAAUGGUUGGGAACAUUCGUUAACUAUAAUCUUUGCAACCCAUUUUCCUGAAGUCAUCUCACUAUUAGGUCGAUAACUAGGAGAACCCAGCUGAUCCCAAAUCUCAACGCCUCCCCCGGUUUUUCAUCACCCACCGCCCACAAAAAUUACAUGAAUCAAAUGCUCUAAAUUCCAGAACUUUCAGAACUUCCAUCGGAAUCGGCGAGCAAAGGAUGUCGCUUUAAGAGCAGAGGACACAAGACACGAUUCCGAAUGGCACUGAAUUUACUUUUCCAGUUAUUCGGAUGAAUCAUGAUAUCCAAAGCCCCAAUUCAAUGACCAAGCCGCAAACAGACCAGACCCAUUUCAACCCUCCCCACAAAUCACCAAAUGAACAAACUACUCGUCACACCAACACUAAGAGAAGCUUAUAGAGAAGUGGGGCGAGAUCUUUUGAAGCUCCUUUAUUUUGUUGAGUUGAAUGCAGUUGGUCUGCGGAAGAUACUGAAGAAGUUUGACAAAAGCUUAAGACAUAGACAUAGAUUUACAGACUACUAUGUCAAAACUCGUGCUAAUCAUCCUUACUCUCAGCUUCAGCAAGUGUUCAAGCAUGUGGUAUAAGCUUAGUCCAGCAUCUCUUUUACUUAGGUUAUUCAUGCUCCAUUUUGUUAGUAUCUGUUAUGAAACUGGAACUUCUCCAUCGAAUAUAGAUUAAUGGCAUAGGCACAUCAUAACAAGCUGGCCGCGUGCCAAAAUUCCAGGGGAUAGGAGCUGUUGUUGGGGCAAUUUCCCGCAACCUCGCAGAUUUGGAGGAUAGCCAAGGAAGCUACUUAUCAAUCUAUGACCAGCCUGCUCUUCCUCUACAGGUUUAUCUCCACCAGAUAUUAUCCAUGCAAUGUAAUUUGUAUUUCGUGGUUGUUUCCUACUUCAGAAUGAUGUUCCACUAUGAUAUUUACCAAGGUUCUUCUGCAGGAUCCCACAAUCGAGUCAAUAAAAGCAGCAGUAGACAGGCUGACCCACUCAACAAACUUCCUACACUUUCUGGCACAGCAUGCAUUAAUUUUGCAAGAGGAACUACCAACUCCAGUCGAGGAACAAGUUGAUGAUGGAAGAUACAUUUUAUGUUUUUACUGUUGAACCAGGCAAACACUUUUCUAUAUAUGGUUAAUACAUACAUCAUCGUGCCCACAGCAGAUGCUUAUGCCAUGAGUCUUGGUGCUGCCGCCACAGUUUGUGGAGUUGUGAUUGGAGCAAUGGCUGUUGCACAGGUGUUCUCUUCAGUAUAUUUCAGUGCAUGGUCAAAUAAAUCAUACUCCAGACCUCUCGUCUUCAGCAGUAUUGUCCUCUUCCUGGGCAAUACCAUGUACGCAAUGGCCUACGAUCUAAAUUCGAUUUCUAUUCUUCUAAUGGGUCGUCUUUUAUGUGGGUAAGAAACCUGACUCCUUGUAUUUUUCUUUUUCAAACCACGAGAAGAACACAAGAUCAUGAAGACCCCCACACCAAGAACUAGAGAGAGAGAGAGAGAGAGAGAGAGAGCGUACCAGGAGCUCGAGAAGACGGAGGAAGAAGGGUAACGAACGUCGAGGGAAGCGAGGGGGGCGAGCGGCGUCAAGUCGUCGUCGAGGGCGUCGCCGAGCAGAGGGGGCCGAGCAGCGUGGAGUCGUCGUGAAGGGCGUCGCCGGGCGGAGAGAGCCGAAGGAGAGAUCGGGAUAGAGUCAGAGAGAGGAGAGAGGGGGAAGACACAAAUUUGGAAUAAAAUUAGGGUUUUUAAGAAUUAGGAACCUAAAUGAAUAAUUUUAGAAAUAUUUGUUAAAAAACGAUGGCUUAUUUCUCUUGUAAGAACGAAUGAGCCAAAAAUAUUUUUAUCGACGAUGAGAAUGUUUUUUCAUUAAUUAAUUAUUUCAAGUGAAACAAAUGAUCAAUUUUAAGAUAAUAUUUUCCAAAUUAUUCAUUUUUCACAAUACACAUGUACCAUUAACAAAGAAAUUUUUUCAUUUUCUAUGUUCUAUAUCACAUGAUAUGGAAAAAUUAGCAUUUUAAGAACCACAAACUUCCUUUAUUGGAGUGUUUAACAAUUUUUUUCUCAACAAUUUGGAUAAUAAAUGCACUAAUUACGCAUAAUAGGGGACACUUAGAAUUUUAAAAAUGACAAACUUUCUUUGCUGGGGUGUUUAACAAAAUUAGUUUUUUUUUUUUCAAUUCAGGUUCUUAAUCGCAUUUUAUUCCUCAAUUUAGAAGUCAAAAGGCACUAAAAAUACAUAAUAAAAAAUAAAAAUAGCUUUUUAAAAACAACAUACUCUCUUUACUUUAACAAAAACAUUUUUUAAAUUUAGAUUUAUAUUCGCAUUUAUUCAACAUAUUUGGUAAGAAAUGCUCUAACUCCUCUAAUAAUUAACAUUCAUUUGCAAUAUAUGAAACUAAAAAUCAUUGAUUAGACAUAACAUGAGAAAAAAUAUUGUAUUGAACACUGUAUAGAAUAUUUUAUUUUUAUCACAUAAGCCCCUAGAGAUCUCUACGUGCAAAUAUUGAACUUAAUCAUAUCUUUUUCUUUAUCAAUAAGUAACUUAACCUUUUCAUUUACUUAUUAAAUUUAUCUCAACUCCACUACUUUAUAGCUUAAGCUUUUGAGCUUUACGUAUACAUAAUUCACCACGAACAUAACAUAGUUUUUGUUCAUGAUUAGUGUGUAAAAUGGAGUACAUUAUCUCUUAUCGCUCGAUUGUAAGAUUUAUCAUAUUCUUAUAUUCACGCUCGCAUCUUCUCUCUAUUUUAUAGCUUAAACUUUAGGUUGGGUUGUCGAACAAUUUCCAAAUGAUACCUAGAUAAAAAUAAAUACAUGCAAUGUUUCCCACAAACCCUAAAAUUGACUUGAUUCCUGAAUUUAGGUUGAAUCGUCGGUUCUACUCAAUAAUCGGUUUUUGAUUUUUGUUGCUACUUUAUUUGAAAAAAGAUAGAUACAAUGAAACAUUAUUUCAAACCUCGAAACUUCUAAAAAUCUAAUGACACCUUAAUCACUACACCACCUUGUUCAUAUUCUAUAGCUUUCUAAACAAAUAGUUACAUUAAUUUAAAUAAGACUUGAUUCUCAAGUCGAUCAUGAAAUUCUGGUUUCCAUUUGGGUUUCCAAUUUUCGAAAUUGGAACCGACUCUAGCAAGAUAAAUUUCAAUUUUUGAAUUUAAAACCUGCUUACAAUCACCCCUAAUUUUAAUUGUAGUAAUUAUUUUGAGACCAAGGCAUUUUUUUUUUCCUUUUUGGCAGGAGAAUGAACUGAAAAGUCUGUCACCCGGGAGUAACAAUUUCUUAUGAACAGGAGGGUGAAACCCCGACAGGUGAAUUUCCUAUGUUCCCACAGUCAAAAGUCCUCUCUCGUUUCCUUCGGCGUGAAAAGUCGCUUUCCUUUCCUUGGAAAUGAGUGGGGAGAAGGACGGAGGACGGAGGGAAGGAGAAGGUGGAGGAACGACAUCUCAUAUUUUUUGCUGAGCUUUUGUGGCAACUUGUGUCGACCCCCGUUAAUGGCAAAACGAUCAGAAUUGCAGGGAGGGCGAUUCAUUCUGAUCUUCCCUGACAGCGUUCCGUUUUGUGUUUCUCUCGCUUUCCUUUUUGAACUAGAGGCCUUUCCUCUUGGUCGCCUUUUUUAUUUUAUUGAAUUUGCUGGUUGAGCACAUGGGAUGAUGAGCGAAGAAAGAAGGAAAACUAAGAAAUGAUGAUGAUGAUGAUGAUGAUCAGGCUAUCUUGUGAGGCAUGUUCUUCUGUGUUUUCAUGUAUCAUGCUAGAUCAAAUGAUGUUUGAGUUGAGAGUUCAAGAACCAUACUUUUAAGGUCUUUCUAUUUGAAAAUGAUAUGACUUGAAUGUCGGUUUCCAUUGGUUAUGUUCAUUGGGUUUGUUUUGGCAGGGAAGUGGAGUGAAAAUUAAAGUACUUGAUUUAGUCUCAAUAGGAGAAUUGAUAGUGAAGGUAGAAUUUGAGUUUUGAAGAGUAUAAAGAAAUGCGCUCUAAAUUGUCAUCGCUAUCAAAGUUAUAAAUUUAAUGGAGAGAUAUUUUUUGACUCGUAUUUUUAGAAUCUAGUUGUAUGUUUUUAUAUUUAAAGGUUAGGUGAAAGUAGGUUAAAAAACUUGGAAGUGCAAUUGAGUCUUAAUGGGUUUCUAGAGAACCCAUUUUUUGGUAAAGGUUAGCCUUUCAGAUCAAGACCGUUGCCGUCGCAUCUAUCGUCGUCUAUCACCUGUAAAGUGUCGAGCCUCAACUUUGCCAACGAUCUCUGUCAUGUUUUCUGUCAUAUGAAGAUGGAGGGGCUCCAAGUGGCUGUGAUGCCGCAACCACAGUGAUGGACGGCGUCAAAUCUAGACUCAAUACCACGAAUUUGAUGUCGCAAGAAUGAGAGAGAGAAAGGGGGGGCGUGGGGUGACUAGGUUCGGGGGCUCGAUCGUGACAUAGUGGGGCUCGGACGGAGGUGAGACUGUACUAGUUGAGUUGAACAAGCGAUGAAAUGGGUUCAAAGUUCAAACAAUGCCAUCUUGAUUCCCCCCCUUACCCGUGCUUCUAAAGCCAAUGUGGCCAAACUGACUUGGAUUGAGUAUGGGUUGGGUGGGAAUCAAACAACACCCGCAUGUCCCCACGUCGCUCAUGUGCCACAUGAGGUCUUAGCUCACGACCCAACCCAAGAACAUGAGCUCCCUCACCCACUUGACGAGCUCAUCCAUAGAGCCGCUCUUUCUUCAGAGUCAACGAAUUAUGAACAAUUGCUAAGAAAUGGAGCUUGACUGGCCCGUGCACGACUUGGAUCCGGAACGAGUCGACUGCUAAAACUAUAUUGUAUAAAAAUAGGUCAAUAGGAAUCGAAAGAACCGAUUUAAGUAAGGUCAUUUUUUACCUAAUACACCCGAGCCUACAUAUAACAAAUGAAAAGUGAAAAUAGACGUGCGAGAAUAUAAGGGUGCGCAUGGAUUUAUUUCUGUGCUUUUUUUGUUCCUGGGAACAGAAACAAAAAAAAGUGUUUCUGUUCCGGGGAACAAUUUUUGAACAAAAGAACGCGUUUGGUAACGUUUGGUCCGGGAAUAAAAAAUGAACAGAAACACGUUUGGUUAAAUUUUAUUAUUUUUUUGUUUCUUUUAAUUUUUUAAACAUUUAUUAUUAUUUUUUAUUUUUUCCUUUCUUUUUAUUUUUUCUUUUUUUCGGCCGGUCACCGGCCUCCGGCGACCGGCCGACGGGGCCGGCAGCCUCGCCCAGCCACGGCGAGGCUCGCCAUGGCGAGGCUCGGCCUCGCCGGAUCUGGGCGAGGCCGAGCCUCGACGGCCGGUCGCCGGCCAUGGCCGAGGCCGGCGACCGGCCAAAGAAAAAAUAAGAAAAAAAAGAAGAAAAGAAGAAGAGAAGAAGAAGAGAGAGAAGAGUCGUUUUUGUUCUUUUGUUUCUUCGAGAAGUGUUUCUUUUCGGGAGAAACAACUUUUUUUUGUUUCUUUUUUCUGUUCCUAUUUCGUUCCAGAAACAAAAAAACAAAAAAGGAACAAAAACGCAACCAAACGCGUUUCUGUUCCUUUUUUGUUCCUGGGCACACUUUCCGUACAAAAGUGUGCCGGAAACGUUUCUUAGAAACGUUUCCAUGCACGCCCUAAGUGUCUAGAGAGAGUUACCAUCUAAACAACAUCACUGCAAAUCGCGGUACACAAAUGCGGCGUUUUCUUCUAAUUUGUUCCCCGGGUGUAGAGAAGUUGAUUGAAACAGCAAUUUGUACAUCAGAAUUUUUUGUACUAAAUACUCCCAGAACUACAGCAAACAUUCAAUCAGUGGGCAACCAAAUUGAGGAUAAAAAUCAACUUCCAAUACCAGUGGAACUACCCAAGCAUUCUGCAUAAUCUUCAGCUCGGGGAUAUGUCAACCCAGCCCAGCAGCAGUACAUAAACUGGACCGGAGGAUCGUUGCAUGUUAUGUACCAAGUUGUUCAUUAGCAUCAUAGGUUUUGACAAAUGCUUAUUAUAUACAUAGAAUGGAUUACCCACAUAAGCACAAUGGCUAUAUACACAUACUGGCCAGAGUUCAGCACGAGGAAACUGAUGGCAGUGAGAUGGGGAUAAAGAAAUGGGCGGCAGCACUCCGCCAUAAGC
rnacentral:lncRNA from 1 species